UGGGGAAUAUUGCACAAUGGGCGAAAGCCUGAUGCAGCAACGCCGCGUGAGUGAUGAAGGCCUUCGGGUUGUAAAGCUCUGUCUUUUGGGACGAUAAUGACGGUACCAAAGGAGGAAGCCACGGCUAACUACGUGCCAGCAGCCGCGGUAAUACGUAGGUGGCAAGCGUCGUCCGGAUUUACUGGGCGUAAAGGAUGCGUAGGCGGAUUUUUAAGUGAGAUGUGAAAUACCCGGGCUUAACUUGGGUGCUGCAUUUCAAACUGGGAAUCUAGAGUGCGGGAGAGGAGAAUGGAAUUCCUAGUGUAGCGGUGAAAUGCGUAGAGAUUAGGAAGAACACCAGUGGCGAAGGCGAUUCUCUGGACCGUAACUGACGCUGAGGCAUGAAAGCGUGGGUAGCAAACAGGAUUAGAUACCCUGGUAGUCCACGCCGUAAACGAUGAGUACUAGGUGUAGGAGGUAUCGACCCCUUCUGUGCCGCAGUUAACACAAUAAGUACUCCGCCUGGGAAGUACGAUCGCAAGAUUAAAACUCAAAUGAAUUGACGGGGUCAUAGCUGUUUUCCU
rnacentral:rRNA from 1 species